rnacentral:misc_RNA from 1 species
AACCUAGCACACCUGCGGUGUGUACCUGCGGAGGGAUCAUUAACCUUUCAAAUCAGGGUGCGGCGCGGCCCCCGAGGAGCGGAAACAAUCCUUGGGAGGUAUGCGGGGGCUUCGAGCCCCCCAUUUACGCACGCACGACUGCCAUCCUUACUUUACGAGCACCCUCUGUUCUCCCUCGGCGGGGCAACCUGCCGUUGGAACCGAAUAAACUCUUUUUGCAUCUAGCAUUACCUGUUCCGA